AACGAACGCUGGCGGCAGGCCUAACACAUGCAAGUCGAGCGGACCUUUCGGGGUCAGCGGCGGACGGGUGAGUAACGCGUGGGAAUAUGCCCUUCUCUACGGAAUAGUCCUGGGAAACUGGGGGUAAUACCGUAUACGCCCUUUGGGGGAAAGAUUUAUCGGGGAAGGAUUAGCCCGCGUUGGAUUAGGUAGUUGGUGGGGUAAUGGCCUACCAAGCCGACGAUCCAUAGCUAGUUUGAGAGGAUGAUCAGCCACACUGGGACUGAGACACGGCCCAGACUCCUACGGGAGGCAGCAGUGGGGAAUCUUAGACAAUGGGGGCAACCCUGAUCUAGCCAUGCCGCGUGAGUGAUGAAGGCCUUAGGGUUGUAAAGCUCUUUCAGCUGGGAAGAUAAUGACGGUACCAGCAGAAGAAGCCCCGGCUAACUCCGUG
rnacentral:rRNA from 1 species